CUUUCAGAGACGAGGCUGGAGAUUGAGUAGAUAACCCCUGCAGUAAUUGCCUGAACCCCUCCUGUUUGUUGAAAAGGUACUAAGACCCACCAAAAAUGGGGGUGAAGAAGAAAAAGAAAGAAAGAGAGGAAGAGAAAUAGAGGAGAGGAAGAACAAGAAGAAAAGAAAGAGUGUCAUGAAGUGAAAUGCACCAAUCCUUUCCACCCAUUCUAGGAGUCCAACAUUCUAGAACUAUUUAUUGUUCACCAGAGAUGUAGUCCAUGGGUCCCAUAUUUUUUUCAAAUAAACGUAGCCAAUAACUUUUUAAUUGCCACUAUCCACAAUUAUUUAGAAGUUAUUGCUAUUCUGGCAGCUAAGAAAAUAAACAAAUUCAGUUUU